AUACGUAGGUGGCACGCGUUGUCCGGAUUUACUGGGUGUAAAGGGCGUGUAGGCGGAGAUGCAAGUCAGGAGUGAAAUCUAGGGGCUCAACCCCUAAACUGCUUUUGAAACUGUAUACCUUGAGUAUCGGAGAGGCAGGCCGGAUCCAUUACGGAGAGGUGGAAUGCGUAGAUAUUAGGAGGAACACCAGGGGCGAAGGCGGCCUGCUGGACGACAACUGACGCUGAGGCGCGAAAGCGUGGGGAGCAAACAGGAUUAGAUACCCUGGUAGUCCACGCUGUAAACGAUGAAUACUAGGUGUGGGGGGACUGACCCCCUCCGUGCCGCAGUUAACACAAUAAGUAUUCCACCUGGGGAGUACGAUCGCAAGAUUGAAACUCAAAGGAAUUGACGGGG
rnacentral:rRNA from 1 species